CAAACAUCAAAACUUCCUACCAUAAACAAAGUAAUAUAUAUAAUAUGUUUUAUUUUUCUUCUUCCAUUUAUAAAUCUUCCGAAGUAGAUUUCAUUUGGUGUCCUUUUUCAUAGGAUACCAAAAGAAUACCGAGAACUCGGAGUGAUUGGGAGAAUUAGAGAGCUAGACUAUAGUUCUCAUAUAGCUUAAAUGGUAAAAACUAAUUUGGGGAAAAUUUUUAAAAGGAUUGGGACCAUUCACCAAACCAAACCCCAUCAACUUUUCUUGAUUCUUUUCUUUUGUCCCCAUACCAUUUAAUUUUGUGAAGUCGUUACGUUACUAUUCCGAUUGAUCCAAUUUCACGAUUAAUAAAUGUUUAGCUCUUUUGGUCAGUUUUGAUGUUGACAUCGGAGAAAGGGAAGCUUUGCACGGUUUAGCUUUCCUAAAGUUUUUGUAGGAUUUAAUUAUUAUUGGUCCCUCUUUGUUUAGUAGAUUGCAAAAAAGAGGUUUGUUGAAGGGUCUCUCUAGCCCAAAAUCGCAUGUGAGUCCAUCUGUCUUCGAACACCUUUGUCUACAUUAUUGGGAUAUAGAUAGAUUUUAUUUUUGUUGUGGGUUUAGAUAUAGAUAAAUUAGGUACUAAGCUUUAGUAAUGAUUUACAUCUUUUUUUCUUUUCUUGUCGAGAGGUUCCACUAGAUUCUCUAUGGAAAUCAAACAGGAGGUGGUGGUGAAUCUGCAUCAAGACGGUCGUUGGCAUUGUUGGUCUUGGGUCUUGUCAUCUUCAACAUUUGUACGGUGCUUUCACUUUUCUAAAGUCCAUUUUAUUUUUAAAAUAGUUAUGAUUAAAAUGAUGUAACAGCUUGUAGUUUACAAAGAAUUGUACUUUUCUUUGGUUUAGUGAGUUUGUUUUUAAGCAAUUUAUUAUUGUAAUUUCUUUACUCUGUAU